rnacentral:rRNA from 1 species
AUUGAACGCUGGCGGCAUGCCUUACACAUGCAAGUCGAACGGCAGCACGGGUGCUUGCACCUGGUGGCGAGUGGCGAACGGGUGAGUAAUACAUCGGAACGUACCUUAUCGUGGGGGAUAACGCAGCGAAAGCUGUGCUAAUACCGCAUACGCCCUGAGGGGGAAAGCGGGGGAUCGAAAGACCUCGCGCGAUUAGAGCGGCCGAUGCCUGAUUAGCUUGUUGGCGGGGUAAAAGCCCACCAAGGCGACGAUCAGUAGCUGGUCUGAGAGGACGAUCAGCCACACUGGGAAUGACACGCGGCCCGGAAUCCUACGGGAGGCAACAGUGGGGAAGUUUGGACAGUGGGGGCAACCCUGAUCCAGCAAUGCCGCGUGAGUGAAGAAGGCCUUCGGGUUGUAAAGCUCUUUUGUCAGGGAAGAAACACCGGCUCUAACACAGUCCGGGAAUGACGGUACCUGAAGAAUAAGCACCGGCUAACUACGUGCCAGCCGCCGCGGUAA